rnacentral:rRNA from 1 species
AACGAACGCUGGCGGCAUGCCUAACACAUGCAAGUCGAACGAGACCUUCGGGUCUAGUGGCGCACGGGUGCGUAACGCGUGGGAACCUGCCCUUAGGUUCGGAAUAACUCCCCGAAAGGGGUGCUAAUACCGGAUAAUGUCUUCGGACCAAAGAUUUAUCGCAUUUGGAUGGGCCCGCGUUGGAUUAGCUAGUUGGUAGGGUAAAAGCCUACCAAGGCGACGAUCCAUAGCUGGUCUGAGAGGAUGAUCAGCCACACUGGGACUGGGACACGGCCCAGACUCCGACGGGAGGCAGCAAUGGGGAAUAUUGGACAAUGGGCGAAGGCCUGAUCCAGCUAUGCCGCGUGAGUGAUGAAGGCCUUAGGGUUGUAAAGCUCUUUUACCCGGGAUGAUAAUGACAGUACCGGGAGAAUAAGCUCCGGCUAACUCCGUG